UUAGGUCCUGUGGGCUCUCGU
rnacentral:misc_RNA from 1 species